rnacentral:rRNA from 1 species
GAUGAACGCUGGCGGCGUGCCUAAUACAUGCAAGUCGAGCGAACAGAUGAGGAGCUUGCUCCUCUGACGUUAGAGGCGGACGGGUGAGUAACACGAGGAUAACCUACCUAUAAGACUGGGAUAACUUCGGGAAACCGGAGCUAAUACCGGAUAAUAUAUUGAACCGCAUGGUUCAAUAGUGAAAGACGGUUGGGCUGUCGCUUAUAGAUGGAUACGCGCCGCAUUAGCUAGUUGGUAAGGAAAGGGAUUACCAAUGCGACGAUGCGUAGCCGACCUGACAGGGGGGUCGCCCACACUGGAACUGGGCCACGCUCCAGACGCCUACGGGAGGCAGCAGAAGCGAAUCUUCCGCAGUGGUCGAAAGCCUGACGGAGCAGCGCCGAGUGAGUGAUGACGGUCUUCGGAUCGUAAAGCCCUGUUAUUAGGGAAGAACAAAUGUGUAAGGGACUAUGCACGUAUUGACGGUACCUAAUCAGGAAGCAACGGCUAACUACGUG